AUGGCAACAUGAUAAGAGCAACAUGGAGAUAGACCAAUGGGAAUGAUGAUCCUGCAGGUCAUAAAUAUCUGCUCUGUUACCAGCCCAGUGCCUAGAACCAUCCAAAACCCAAAUGGAGAGACAGACCCCCCUCAAGAUAGAGCAUAGCCAUAGUCACAUCAACAGCACUUCUCAAAGCAUUUUGGACAGAUCAUUGCUGGAGCCUGAAUGGUUGAACUAGGUGCUAUAUCUAACAAACUCACAAAUAUAAAACUGUUCGCAACAUGACUGGCAUCCGCUCCUCUCUUCGCUGCCAAAGAAACAGUUCUUCUCUGGGGUAAUAUUAAGUUGAGGAGGAAACACCUCCCAUCUGGAGCCUUUCCAACAAGUUUUCCAAGGGCGAGCGCCAUGCUUCUGGGCAUCAAGUGGUGAACUCCUCCAAGUGGUACGGCUGUGGAAGCAGACGGGCAAAUCAAUCAACAUCUAUCCACCUGCCAUUAGCUGAGAAUGAGUCACGUGACCUCAGAUAGGAAAAGAGAUUGUCACAACAAAGAAAUCAUGACCUCUGCUCCACAAAUAAGCCUGCUGAUUGAAGACUGCCCACCUCCGCUUCUUCCCUGACUCUGGCUACAUCAACUCCUAUUGUAAGAAACAAGCAUGCCCUGCUCUGUGACUACCCCUGUAGUUACAGGCAGCUGUACCCUCUGCUUUGGAAGGCAUCGUCUUUAUAAUUUCAUUCGUGUCUUUCACUAAAAAAGAUUUAUCAUCG
rnacentral:lncRNA from 1 species